rnacentral:lncRNA from 10 species
AAAAAAAGCAGAAUUUUCCUAAUCCAUGAAAACUCAGAGGUUUUCCAUUUCGGGGUGUAAAAAGGCUUCCUGCCAGUGGCAAGGAGCUACUUUAUCACUGGCUGCCACUCAUCUUUGAGAAGGACAGCCCAAAAGAGCUGGCUUAGGCUUGCCAGAAACUCUCCCAGGCCACAUGGAAAGCCAGGUGACCCUGUAGUACCUGCCCAGUGUGACUCAAGCCCCGAGUAGAAGAAAAGCAAGUUCCAACCUGCAGGCCAAGCCUGGCAUGCAGUGGGGCUGUGCGCAGACUGCCAUCCUUGGCACCAAUGGUGCCAAAUUUCUUGCCAAAUGGGCUUGAGUUUCAACAUGUUGGGAGAGCACAGGAGCCUGUGAGCAUAACUUUGCUGUCAACCCUGAAGCAGGGCCAAAGAAGAUCCUAGAGAGUCCAGCAGUACAGCAGAUGGAAGGGACAGGCAUGGAUGUUGGGCUCCUGGGGAUUCAGCCCUCUUUGGGCAAAGCAGAACACCAUCUAACACCAGAGGACUAGACUGCGGCCGGAGCAUUGCCCGAGCCAUCCCAGGGGAUGGAGGGCCCCUGGGAAAUCCUUCAAAGGCAAGUGCAGCUGUUGCCAGCUCUGGGUUCUGUGGGGCCCAUAGGAUGACGUGGCCUGAGGCUUCAUCACUGGAGCCUGGGGCUUCAGCUUUCCAGCUCCUUCCCUAGCCACUCUGAAUGGGCCCAGAAAGAACUCAGGCUGGUGACGAUGGGUAAUCAGACCUGCUUGUAGAACAUUAGAGCUCACUUAGAGCUUCGAAUCAGCCUAGAUAGAGGCCAAUGUCCAUCAACUGAUGUGGGGAGGUUGGAGGUUUCUGAGGGAGAGAUAGGAGCAUUUGCAAGGAAGCAGGACUCCUGAAAAGAAAGGGAUAAAGAUUCCCAGCCCUAUAAGAGUUACAAGUACUGAAGCAUACCUAGUGGCCUGGAGUGGUCCUGAGCAAGGCACAAUAACAAGGAUGAACCAGGAAGAGGACUCCACACAGAAUUCACGAAGGGAGGGAGAUGGCACCAGCUGGCUUACAUCUACACUGAGGCAAAGGAUGGGAGAGGACAUGAAGGGGUUAAAAAGACACCUUUUCACUGUGGGAACUGCUUUCUUAUCCCAAGAAAACUGAGGUUGCCAACCCAGCUACAGCACCCUCAUUUCAG